GUAGGUGGCAAGCGUUGCCCCGGAAUUAUUGGGCGUAAAGCGCGCGCAGGCGGUUCUUUAAGUCUGAUGUGAAAGCCCACGGCUCAACCGUGGAGGGUCAUUGGAAACUGGAGAACUUGAGUACAGAAGAGGAAAGCGGAAUUCCACGUGUAGCGGUGAAAUGCGUAGAGAUGUGGAGGAACACCAGUGGCGAAGGCGGCUUUCUGGUCUGUAACUGACGCUGAGGCGCGAAAGCGUGGGGAGCAAACAGGGAUUAGAUACCCUGGUAGUCCACGCCGUAAACGAUGAGUGCUAAGUGUUAGGGGGGUUUCCGCCCCCCUUAGUGCUGCAGCUAACGCAUUAAGCACUCCGCCUGGGGAUACGGCCGCAAGGCUG
rnacentral:rRNA from 1 species